AAAGCGUUUGACAAUCGGGAAGCAAAUAUGAUAUGAUAAAAAGUAAUUACACAUCUUUCCCUCCGUAUCACUUAUCUCUGAUUUUCCUGAAAACAUUGCUUGAUACUCACUGUAAUUACUAUUUUACGACUUUUGAAGCAAACCUCAAUUUAUUGACUGCUGCUCAUAACACUUGGAGCUCAUUAGCGUGGCAAUUAAAAUGCAGCUAUUAGUGUUGUUUUUUGUUUCAGAUAAACGGAACCCACGACGACGAAGACAACCCUCCGGACGUCCCAUUUUUUACUGGGAAGGUGAGAGGUUCGGUCAAACACACCCAACCAUCCAGCAAUGAAGUCACCGGGAAUUCUACGGACAUUGAAAAAAGACACGUAUCCGUAGUGCCAUCCUUCAGCAGUUGAAGACCUCAAGAGUUUGAAAGACGAUGGUGUUCUUGACGAAAAUGAGUUUGCCUCACAGAAGGACAAGCUGUUGACAGAACUAAGCUCUUUGUAAUUGAAGACAAAUUCAUAAUUUACGUGAAUAGUAACUGUUGUAAAAAAAGUCAUCAAAAAUACUCUGCAUGUCGAAU